GAGGAGGACGAGGACGAGGAGGACGACUGGUGGUUGGAAGACUUGGUGCUGCCUCUGCAGACGGGAAGAGAGAGAGAGAGGGGGGGGGGGUCAGACGAGAGUUAAGACGGACCUUUAUGGAUCGGUCCUCGCUGCUUGGGAGCGUCUACUGGCGUCUUCGACAGCGUUGCCUGAAACAACGGGGUGCGACAUCACAAGACUGGUGCCCUGUGCCAGAUAGGGUGAUCACGAGCAUCAGCAGACUGACUUCAGGGAUAACUCACAAUGUGUAGUUCCAGUGAGACCGUGUUUUCUCCAUGGACAGGCAGACAUAACAGGGAAGAGAGUGCUGGAGUCAGGACUGGGAGAGAUCUGGAGUGGACUGUUCAGUCACAAGAGGGGUGUCAGGGCACCAAGUGAGGGAUUGCGAGACCAACACCGCCCCCUAGCGGAGGUGCGCAUAUCCACACACCGACACACGGCCCACAAACCCCCUUUCACCCAGAACACAAGGCCCACGGCGAGUCCGGAGCUCCGGUCGGUCCAAUAGGAACGGGUGUAGUGGGGAGCGUGAUUGACAGCCGUCCGAGGGCGAGGCUCAGGUGAGGGCGGGGCUCAGGUGUGGGUGAUUGACAGCCGCCACUCACGUCUCUCCAGGAUCUCGGUGAUGCCGGCGUUGUCGGCCUCCAGCUCCAUCUUGAACUUGGCCAGCUCCUGGUCCAGCUUCCUCAGGUGACGGUCCACCUGUGACCACACCACAGCCCCGUCAGCGCUCAGUACAGCCCCCCACCGUGGUUCACACCCACACUACACAUCCCAGCCCGCCACAGCGUUAAACGCCUCGCAGGCCACACGCAACGGGUGAGGUGCAUGACCGGCCGAGACGUGCCAGGUUGUCUGCGGUGCUGUGCUGCCGCCUAGUGGGCUGAAGGAAACAUUGCAGGAGGGGGAGCACGGUGGUGGCUUUACGAAAUCCCAUUCAUCCCGUAAAACAGAGCAUCCCUGGACUGCGAGUGUGCCUCUCAUGCUUCUAAACCGACUGCAUCCAAACAGAUAACCCGUGCAACUAACAGGAUCCAGCAGAAACACCAACUCUUCCCCCUUACCAGAUCGUAAAUCUGAUUGGCCAGCUGUACUUUUUCGUCUGCGUCUUCCAAGGCUUUAUAAUAGUCCUGGAGGAAGGAGACACAGCAGCAGCUAUGAAUAAUGACAGUCAUCCGAGCGCGUCGCAGUGCGUUUACGACGGCAGAAAUAUGUAUCGGUAUAACAUCGGUGUCAACAGCUUUUCACCGCUUCAAAAUGGUGCUAACACAGAAUUCCAGCGCAUUCUGCCCAUGUGUUUUAGGAGUGCGUGUGCGUGUGGUGAAGGUUAAUGAGACCGGGUACCUUUUUGAUCACCUCCAUCUGUUCCUCCCUCCACUCGGGCUUGUUUUUCUUAGCGUUGACGAAAAACUCGUUAACCCUCUGCUCCAACUGGUCCAUUGCAUCUAAGACACGAUGAAACAGUGUGCGUUUCGAGCAUUGGAUGGGCGUGUGGGCUUCAGGGCUAGAGUGGAUGAGAACACACUGCUCCAGACCAGUAAACGCUGGUCUCUGUGCGAGCUUUCAAUCCAGCACAUCUGUACAAUGCAAUUCUAGUUUUUAAUUGGGGUGGUCAGGUGGCUGAGCGGUUAGGGAAUCGGGCUAUUGAUUGGAAGGUAGCCGGUUAGAUUCCCAGCUGUGCAAAAUGACGUUGUGUCUUUGGGCAAGGCACUUCACCCUACUUGCCUUAGGGGGAAUGUCCCUGUACUUACUGUAACUCGCUCUGGAUAAGAGCAUCUGCUAAAUGACUAAAUGUAAACGUAAUUGCAAGUGCUUGCAAGAUUGACUUAUCUGAAACUAAGAGUGCAAAUGCCAAAUAUAAUUACAAUCGGGUUGUUUUUCUAUCUAUAAUGUAUGACAUGUUAUCUUUUUAUUUGUAUUUUGAAAUUUAUUAAUUUCAUUAUUACUGAUCUUACAGUAAUA